AUUGAACGCUGGCGGCAGGUCUAACACAUGCAAGUCGAGCGGAGCGGCGGACGGGCGAGUAAUGCCUAGGAAUCUGCCUGGUAGCGGGGGCUAACGUCCGGACACGGGCGCUAAUACCGCAUUCUCUCAGCUGAGCCUAGGUCGGAUUAGCUAGUUGGUGGGGUAAAGGCCUACCAAGGCGACGAUCCGUAACUGGUCUGAGAGGAUGAUCAGCCAAACUGGAACUGAGACACGGUCCAGACUCCUACGGGAGGCAGCAGAGGGGAAUAUUGGACAAUGGGCGAAAGCCUGAUCCAGCCAUGCCGCGUGGGUGAAGAAGGUCUUCGGAUUGUAAAGCACUUUAAGUUGGGAGGCGUUACCAGCAGAAUAAGCACCGGCUAACUUCGUGCCAGCAGCCGCGGUAAUAC
rnacentral:rRNA from 1 species